rnacentral:lncRNA from 1 species
UCUAUUAUAACGAUGGGGAAGUUUCUUAUUGUUCGUCAUUUGAAUCGUUAAAUAAUCACGAGCCGCAACAGAAAUUUGUUUCAUCGGGAGACGAUGACACAAAAUGUGACUCGUGGGACGAUUACUAUGAACAGCUCGAGGUGUUUGAGUAUCUCCAUCCGGGAUGCAAUAUCGUUAACGAUAAUGUUGUAAACAAACAAAAAAGA